GGCGAGAUGUCCGAGUGGUCUAAGGAGCUGGAUUCAAGCGCAAGCUGGCUCAUUCGAUGAGUUUCCCAGUAGCGAUUAGCUGCGGGGGUUCGAAUCCCCCUCUCGUCA
rfam:Schizophyllum commune H4-8 unplaced genomic scaffold SCHCOscaffold_12, whole genome shotgun sequence.